AAGAAUUGACCCUGCGUUGCUGCGCCCUGGUCGUAUGGACAUGCACAUUCACUUGUCCUUCCUCACAAGCAAGGCCUUUCGAAUUCUAGCUUCCAAUUACUUAGACGUUGAAGGAGAUCAUCCACUCUUUCAACAAAUUGAUGAUCUGUUGGAGAAAAUACAAGUAACCCCUGCAGUGGUAGCAGAGCAACUAAUGAGAUAUGAGGAUCCUGACGUUUGUUUGGAAGAACUUGUUCAAUUUCUCCAACAAAAGGCCAAGGAAAGCCUCCCUUUAGACUAGCCAUGUUUUAGAGUCUUCUCAACUCUACCAUCACUCGGAUAAGAUGCAGAACAAAAAUUAGUGCUUUUUUGUUCUGUAGUCUUUAGAUGGGUACUUAUGUCUUGAAUUGUUGUUUAAAAUUCAAUGCAAAAAAGAUUUGAAGAUUCUAAUUAAUCUAUAAUCUAUAAGCCAACAAGACUGUAAUUAAGCCAACAAGGAAGAUCCAAUAGCAGUUUUCGCUAAUUUUUUGUUAUUUGGAGGUGGUACCGAGUAACUGACAUGGUGUUUGUUUAGGUAUUACAAAAGGCAAAGUUUCUUAUUAUCAUUUUGUCUUUUUCGUUUGUUUGUAUAUCAUUAUUACUGGUUUUAAAGUAUGUUGCAACGCAAAGUUUGGGCUGGUCAUGCACUCCGCUUAGUGAUCAAAAUCAUUGGGUGGAACGAUGAUUUUAGUCCGUUGAUCCUCUUAUGCUCUGUCUUUCUCGAAGAUCGAUGUAAAGUAUGGAGGAGUGUGUCAUCAUCACGCAACAGGUGUUUCGUCUACAAACUUGUUGUCCACAUCCAUUUUUGUGGGAUGGAGAAUGUCUCAGGAUAUGAAGAGGUCUUACGGUGAAAUCUGCAAAACACACUUAUUGUUGUAUUCUACAUGAAAAAGGCAUAAGCAUUUAUGGAAAAUCUACAAAACACCAUGCACAUAUUUGAUUUCAUCAACUAAUGAUGGAUACAUAUUGUAUGGACAGAAAUACAAAAUGAAAAAGCAUAUUACACACUUCAUUUUAAACCCUCUUAUUUACCUUUAUGUAAGAAAAAUGAUAGUUUGAAAUUAUAUAAAACAAAACACUCAUGUUUUAUAACCUAUUUUAACAAUAUAAUAAUAUUUAUUAAUAUUUUAUAUUAAAAUAAAUGUGAUUAAAAUAAGAAAAAUGAUUAUUUAACGAUCCUUAUAGUUAUAUAUAAUUCUUAAUGUGAUGGGUUUAGAAAUAAAUAUACAUAAUAAUAGAGUAAGUUUGGAAUUAAAUGAUAUGAAAAAAUAUUAAAAUGAUAAUAUUAGAAGUGGUAAUGUAGUUGUUUAAAAAAUAUGAGUUGUAAACGUAUUAUUAUCCUUAAAAUAAUAAUAUGUUGAGUUGUAAAGUAGGAGUAUUUUUUUUUUUUUUGAGUAUGACACUCCUUAUAAAUACAAUAUCACUAAUUUCUCUAUGUUUUUUUUCUUAAAGAUUAAGAACGUAUUUAAAAAAAAAAAUACUUUCACCCAUAGACACAUGAAAAUCAACAGCAAAAUAAAUUAUUGAAUAAAAAGUAUUUUAAAGUACACCAUUUGUCAUAUAUUUUUGUUCAGUGAGAUAUUUUGUCACUGAAACGAAAGUUCACUUUAUAGAUUAAAAAUAAAAGGAAUGAUUUGUUAACAAACGAUGACACAUUUUGUAAGGAAAAAAUAAGUUGAUUACAUGCUCUAAAAGAAAAAAAAGUUACCGAGAGACUUUCAUCUUAAAGCAUCAAAAAGUUUUACUCCUUUUUUGUGCUCCAAAUGUUUUAGAAUAACUAAUAUCUCAUUCAUUUAUGUAGGAUAUAAUGGACCUUAAUUAUAUAUAGUCUUCAUUAUAUUUUAAUAUAUUUUUAUUUUACAAUUCUUGUAUUCUUCCUUUAAGCUUCAUAUGCAUGGUUUGAUCUUCCAUGUUUUAUUGCAAAAAUAUUUUCAAAACUGUACACAUAGGGUUAAAUUAAAAGAACAAGUGUUACCAUCGACAUUAUUUCAUAAUCAAAAUAUGUUGCUCAAUGUUAAAAUCGUAAAAUAUCAAAUUUUUAAAGAACGAAAAUCUACCGGCAUAGGUUGAAGGGCUCAUAUAGUACCCCUGUGACUAGACGUACAAUUGUUGAUGUGUCAGUGAUUUUCAGUGAUUUUCUGAUUACUUCAAGUAUCAUUCUUCAAAUGUUGAUGUUCGGCCGGUCGAGGGUUAUCUGCAAAAGGUACUAUGACGCUCAAGUAAAUGUUUUGGCUUAAGAGUGUAUUCUAAUAAAAUGGUAAAAGUAUACCUUACUCUUUCACAGAGGGCUCUAUUUAUAGUAUUGGCAUAUGGGCCUUGACCCUCAGGGGUCGAAUAUCAGUUUAUGAACUGAUGCAUAGUAGUUCCUUGAUACUAGGAACGUGUAUCUUUCAAUUAAUAAAUUAUUCUCGCAUAUUGAUGACUUUUUACGGCAAGUGCACCGCGUUUGUCAGAAGUAAUAAUUGUCCCUAAGGACAGAUAUCGAUCCCACAAAGAACAGUGAAUUAUCGAGUACAAUAUUCGCUAAAUUUAACAACAGAACAAUAAAAAAGAGUUUGAAGUGAUUAUGUUGGCACUGAUCAAUAAGAAAACAAACAAAGAAUUAGUUGCUUCCAUUGGAAAAAUUGGGAUUAAGUUUCAUCUCUCUCACACUCAUGUAUUUUGAUUAGCAUGUUAAUAUUAAGUUCUUUAAUUGAAAUUGAUGCCCGUAUAAAAAUCAUUUAUAUCGAUUCCUCGCAUAUAAAAUCCUUAAGAAUGUUCCCUAACUAUCGAUCCCUCGCAUACUUAUAAGAACAACUUAGAACGAAGCUCAGACGUUUAAUAGCAAUUAACAUUUCAAGUCUAUUACUAGCACUCAAAUAUGUUAAGUAUUGUUGUUUAGGUCCGAAUCCUAAAAAUACCUCCCGGUCAGAUUUAAGAUUCUCAAUUUGUCACGGAGAAUUAAAAGUAAAACAACAAUACCAAUAAUCAAUCAAGAACUGAAUAUUAAUAUAUAAAAUAUCACCUCAAUACAUAAGAGUUUGAGCAGAUUACUCCCAAUCCCAAAGGGUAGAAUUAGCCACGCAUACUUCUAUCACCUUCCAUUCUCCCAAUUGGGUUACAAUUCACUCUAUGGUGUUUUCCUCUCAAUCUGGCACCCUAAGGUUGAGCCUCUAGCCCUCUAUUUAUCCUAGUUUUCUAGGGUUAGGUUGUUUAUUGUGUCGCGCUAAUGGGCUAAAUGAUAAAACAUAAAAAGGCCCAAUCUUUCUUUCUUUUUUUCUUUCAUUCCGGGACCUUCUAUCUUUAUCUUUUUGGCUCAAAUCAUUCAUCUUUAAUCCAAAUCUCCAAUCUUCCUUAGAAAUCUGCAAUUAACACCAAAUUUGGGAAUAAAAUACUAUUAUUCAAAUAAAGAUCAUAAAAAAUGUAAAAAAGUAUAAAUGCAUAAAUUAGGGAUUAUUUUAUAUGUAAAUUAGCAAUAAAUCCUCAUAAGUGCCUAUAUUUUAAUAUGAAAUAUUACUGAAAUUAGACACUUAUCACAUAUUUUGGGAUGUACAUUGACUCAUUCAACGCUAUUUGUAAUUUUUGCUACUUAUUGUAUUUCUUAUAUUUUUAAACUUGGGUAGUCGGUCACUGGGACCGAGACUGACUCGUCCAGUACCGACGGUACACUUGCCCCCUAGGCUCGAAGAAGUUAACUUCUGAAGAGUCAAAGAUGACUGUUGGAGUUCCCGAGAUAAGAUGUGAUGGCUGAACGGAUUAAAUAUUUGGCAGAGAUGUGACAUUUGCUAUUUAGCAAAAAAGUCGUUGUUUUGAUGAACACUGUUCAAUCAGAUAUAUCUAACGGUUGAUAUUUCAUGUCGUUUCAUAUGCCGAAUGAUGCUAACCAUUGGAUGGAUAUGGAUCUAAUGGCUUCGAACAAAUGACACAAUAACCUCUCUCCUGUUCAAUUACCUAUAAGUAGGGCAUCAUUUGAACGUAGUAGGGUUUAGGCUUUUUUCGCUGCUAUAAGGUUUGUGUUGUGUGCUCCGAGUGUUGAGUCUUUCAACUUGCUUUCACUUCUUCGUACAUUAUUCAGGUUAGUCAUGUCUUCUACCUCUGACUCCUCUAAUAGUGUUGUACAUAUUGAGUCAUUUGAUGUUACCUGCACUGCAUCUGGUAGUGCGAGAGAUGUGAGUGGCUUGGACAGCUCUAAAUCAGACGGUCCGAGUUACGAGUGGGUUGAUCCAUGGGUCUUGGAUAUCCCUACUUGCUUUUAGGAUUCCAAUUAUUUAGUUAAAUAUUUUUUCCAAAGGAGCUUUCUUAAAACCGGAUUCGCCCUCAGACACGUUGAUGGCCUACAUUUGUGGUUAUAUCGAACGAGUUUGUCACAGUCAGGAAAAUUCACCCCACGACUUCUUUUUUGUUUAUAAUACCUUUUUUUUCUGAUUUACAUAUUACUCUUCCCUUCGACAAUUCACCAUGGAGGUCCUUCGUAUCCUUAAUGUGGUGCCAACCCAUCUACAUCCCAAUUCGUGGACGGCUCUUCAGGCCUUCAGAAUUAUUUGUGACAUUUUCAAAAUACUACUUAGGCCUCAAUCAUUUCUAUUCUAUUAUAAUUCUUGUCCGAGUACUCUAGUGAGUUGGCUAUCUUUUUCGAGUCGACUGGGGAGUGUUCGGUUCGCAACAUACACCACCUCAUAUAAAUUUUUUAAAGAAAUAUAUUUCAAGAUUUUUGUGGAGUCGGAUGGUCGAGAUUAUUUUUACGAUUCUGAAGGGCAGAACAAGUUUCCUUUUCAUUGGACCCCUAAUCCUUCAAUAUUCAGUACCUAGCUGAGGUCAUCGAUGACCCCUCGGGAUAAAGAAGUCCUUGUUGUUUUUUACCAGCUCCUAAAUAAAUUACCUACUCGAGAGUUGGUAGCGUUGUACAAGUCGUUAAGAGGUGGACGAAAUAUACUGGUAUGUGGACUUAUUAUAUACCUAAUUGUAUUCAUUAAGUUGAUGGUGUUUAAUUUGUUUGUGUUUUGAAGCUAUCAUGACUCGAGUGGACUCGACUCUUGGGAACUACAUGGCCCAAUUAUGACGCCAAACGGCAAAUAGAAAAAUAAGCAGCUUCGAGACGAUCGGGAAAGGAAACCCGAUCGUUCUGGUUGAUGUAGUGCCCCCAACCACCAUCGUCCCUCCGGUGAAUCGAAAAAUGGGUCGUCUGGCUAAGACGGUUUAACAAAAUGCAGUUGCAGGGUUAUCCUCUUCACAACCUUCUAUGUUGAAUUCCCUCAUGCAAUUGGUGUUGGGGGUACAAAUUGCAAAAUCAUCGGAGGACGAAAGCAUUCUAGUGGUCGUCCCUAGCAAUAACUUUAUUUUGGAAUUGAUUGAGCUGCAGAGUUGGGAACUAGUGGUUGGCGAGACUCUUAGAGAGGAGCUAGAAAGAACCACGACUGUGGUUUACCCAAGUUAAAAAUAGAGUUGGCCGAGUCUACUAGCUCUUUGAAAGCAACAUUGGAGGCGAUGGAAGCUUUCAAAGAAAAAAUGUGCCAAGAUAAUGUUGCAGUUGAGAAGGCCCAACAGGCCUUGAAAGUCGAGGUAGAGACGAUAAAGGCCGAGCUUGCCAAGGAAAAGGCUGAAGCUGAAGAAAGGGAGAAACACUAUCCGCAGAGGUGGAGAAGUGUCACUCCUUUAUGAUGCACAUAAGUGAAGAUUACUUCCACUAAGGUCUUCGUCAAGUGGCCUUCUUCCAUGGCAUACAUGCCGAGGAUACUAGGUAUGACAUCGAGAAAGAUGUUGUUGAAGGAAAGCUAGUGCCGAUCAGCGGAGGUGUCGAUGAGGUGAUGAAGGAGGAUGACGGCGAUGGAGAGACUGCCACACCCCGCAACGAAUCGGAGCCAUCUUUCGAGGAAUUAUUUGAACCGCUUUGAAUGGAUAUCCUGGACUCGGGAUGUCGGCUUAAAACAAUGUUUAAAUUUUUUUAACGAUCGAUAAAGAAACUUUUAACUUUAAAUGUUACUCUUACUUUGAACAUGAUAUAUUUUGAGAAUGUCGAUGAUAUCUUUGAGUUUUGAUUAUGUUUUAGGAUGACCGAGUACUUGCAUAAAAGUGUUUUUAAUAAAGUACAGUAAUGGAUGACCGAGCCUAUUGAUAUUGAACAAUAUAGCAGUACUUUAAUAAUUCACGUAACAUUGCUUGAUCGUUACGAAUAACAUCUGACUGACUAAGCGGUGGAGUGUGAUAAGACUUGAACGCCUACUUUCUAAUUAAAAAGUAUAACUUGAACAAAUAUGAAAUAAAGACUUUCACUUUGUUCCUAUCACGCGGAGUAAGAAUAAGUUAUUCUGGUCUAGGGUUUAUCCUUGAUAAACUAAUGAAUGUUAGAUAAGAUUAUUUUAUUCCGAUCGUUCUAAGCGAUAUUUUAUCUUCUCCUGAUCGCUCUAGGCGAUACUUUAUGUGGCUUGGAUUGUUGUUAACAAUAAUUACUGAAUCCGAUCGACACUGGUCAAUGAACUCGGUUGGAGUUAAAACUCUUGUUAUUUCUGAUUGGUCAGUGUGAUAAUCAUGUGAUAACAAAAGAUAGUUUUAAAGUGUUUCGUUAAAAUCUUCUCAGUCAAAAAAUCUCCUUAGGGAUAAAACAACCGAGCGAGAGAAGAGUACACUAUUUUAUUGAAUUUUCAUCAACUAUAAUAAAAUUUGAUAAGCAUGGCAUUUCAUGUUCUCGAUACAUUUCUUCCAAAUAAAAAUUCUACAUAAUAUGUACCGCCAGCCGCUGUGUCUGCAAUACGUAAUGGUCCUUCCCAAUUUCUUGAUAACUUACCAUCGUCUUUUUGGGUGUCACUACGCAUUCGCUAGACCAAGUCUCCAUUUUGGAAGUUUCUCGGAUUCACCUUCGAAUUAUACCUUCUUGUCGCCCGUACUUUGCAUGUUUCUUAUCUUAUUCUACUUUUGUCUCUAAGUUCGUUGAUAAGGUCAAGGCCGACCAACAAAAUUUCUUUAUGUAAAUCCAAAUCUAGUGUUUGUCGUCGUAGAGAGGGCUCUCAUACUUCAACGGGAAUCAUAGUUUUUGUCCCAUAGGUCAAACUAUAUGGGGUUUCUUGCAUAGUGGAUUGUGGCAUACAUCAAUAAGCUCAUAAGACUUCAAGAAGCUCCUCGGUCCACUUACCUUUGGCUGGAUCGAGUCUCUUUUUCAAUAGAUUCAGAAUAACUUUGUUGAUGGCCUCGACUUGGUCAUUGGCCUGCGGGUGCUCUACUGAGUUUGUGAUGUGUUUGAUAUCAAGCUUUUUGUAAAACUUAGACAAUCCUCGGUCAGUGAAUUGUCGACGGUUGUGAGUGAUGAUGACAUGCGGUAUUCCGAAUCGGCACACAAUGUUUUUCCAAAUAAAAUUUUGGACAUUCCGUGCACUGAUGGUCACGGGGGGUUCGACCUCUAUCCAUUUAGUAAAAUAAUCUAUGCAUAUCAACAAAAAUUUACACUUUCCUUUACCUAGAGCAAAGGGUUUAAUGAUAUCCAUCCCCCACUUCACAAAUGGCAGUAGGGAGAGAAUGUAGUGAAGAUUCUCAAGCUUUUAGUGAGAUAAACUACCAUACUCCUGACACUUAACACAUUUAUGAACAAAUUUUGUACAAUCACCUUGUACGGUUGACCAAUAAUAUCCUGGUCGUAGUACUUUAGUUGCCAUUUUCCGAGCUCCCAAAUGAGUACCACAUACUCCCUUGUGUAUCUCUCGCAUGACAUAAGUGGCUUUCUCAAGGGUGAUACAUUUUAAGAGUGGACGAGUGUAACCACGCCGAUAAAGAUCUUGAUCUAUCAGUAGAAACUGGGUGGCUUACUGCCUCAUUACUUUUCCCGAAUGCACCCCGCAGUUCCCAUCUAUUAAAAAAUGUUUGAUGGGUGUCAUCCAGUUCGGCUGUACAUCAGCCAUCAUACACUCUUCUGAGCUAACAAUGGGAAUGCUCAAGGUCAUAUAAAUGACCGACCGAUGAAGUACCUUCUCUUAACAGUUGCUAGGCGGGAAAGCAUAUCAGCUCGGGUAUUGUGUUUCCGGCGGAUAUGUUGGAUUGUUACCUCAGUAAAUUUUGCAAUCAGACCCUGCACAAAGUAAUAAUACUGUUGAAAUAACGUCUUUUUGACUUCAAAUUUCUUUUUAAGUUGGCCGACCAUUAAUUGAGAGUCACUUUUACAUAUGAGUUUUUUCACUUCCAAAUCAAAAGCGAGGUUAAGGUCAACUAUGAUAGCUUCAUACUCGGCCUGAUUAUUCGACGUCUUAAACUCAAACUUCAAAGACUGCUCAAUGAGAACAUCACAUGGUCCUUCAAGUACCACCCCUGCAGUGCAUGAUCUGCUGUUAGAGGAACCAUCAACAUGCAUAGUCCAUUGAGUCUUCCUCCUCAGUCGUCCGAGGAUUGAGCUCAGCUGUAAAAUCAACUAAGGCUUGUGAUUUAAUUGCCCCCUGGGUUGAUAUUGAAUUUGGAAUUCUUAUAACUCCACCGCCCAUCCUAUCAUUCGUCCAGCCAAGUUUGACUUUGCCAGUAUCUUCAUUAUGGGGUAGCUGGUUCUUACUAUAAUGCGAUGAUUCUGAAAAUACAUAUGCAUUCGUCGUGUAGUUAUUAUUAAGGCCAAGGCGACCUUCUCAAUCAUUUGGUACCAUACCUCGACACCGUGAAGUACUUGGCUGAUGAAAUAGACUGGUCGUUCUUCUGUCUCCACUUCUUGAAGCAAUAUCGCGCUUAUUACAUCUUUUGACACAACGAGAUAAACAAUUAUAGGUUCCUUAGCAAUCGACUUUUGAAUGAUCAAAGGAGAUGCCAAAACAGCUUUUAAUUAGAGUAAUAUUCCUUCACAUUCGUUCGUCCAUCGGAGCUUAGAUGCUUUUUGUAACAGUUGUAUAAUGGGUUUAGUCUUUUAUGCAUGUUUUGGCACAAAUAUAUAAAAUGUUGUAAGCCGCCCGAUCAACCUUUGAAUUUCUUUGACAUUUUCAGGGCUCCUCAUCUUGGUGAGCGCCUUACAUUUUUCAGGGUUUGCUUCUAUGCCACGAUGAGUGAGCAUAAAACAUAAGAAAUUCCCUCCUUCUACCCUGAAUGCACACUUGUCGGGAUUAAGUCUCAUGCCAUGGUCGCAAAGGGCUUGGAAGACUUCUUGUAGAUAUUUGAUAUGUUGUUCUCAUGAGUCAAAUUUGACGACAAUGUCGUCCACAUAAACUUCAACACUUUGGCCAAGCAUGUCCUUGAAGAUGUAGUCCAUCAUUCGUUGGUAGGUGGCCCCAACAUUUUUUUAGGUUGAAUGACAUGACCUCAUAAUAAAAAUUAUUAGAGUCAGUCAUAAAAGCUAUUUUUUCUUUGUCUCUUGGAUGCAUAUGGAUUUGAUUGUAUCAUGAGUAUGCAUCUAAAAAACUUAGGAUAGUGUGAUGUGUUGCACCGUUUUCGAGUCGAUUAAUGCUCGAUAGGGGAUAAGAGUCUUUAGGGCAUCCUCCACUUACCAUUUGAUUUCUUGACCAUGAACACAUUGGUCAACCAUGUUGUAUAAUGUGCUUUUCUGAUGAAGCCAACCUUCAUUAACUUCUCAGUUUCUUCUCAUGCGGCAUCACGUCAUCUUUUGUUUUUUCUGGGAUACCGGUCUGACCUCUAUGUAAAUGGAGAGGCGAUGUGUAAUGAUAAUCGGGCUCACCCCGGGCAUAUCAGUAGUCGUCCAAGCAAAUAGAUCGGUAUUAUCAAUCAAAUUUUAACUUACCAACUUGUUACCGUCUGGUGUCAAAGACAUUCCAAUGUGUGUCUUAUGUUCAUCAUCUUGAAGGGGCAAGUGACGAAGGUCCUCACCUGGAUUUAUACGGGCUUCGUCAAGUCGAGGGUCUAAGUCAACGAGUGCAACCAUAUGUUCUCUCGUUCUUCUAUCACGGGAGCAUCCUUCGGUCGAGCAUCCCCUCCUUCCGUGAGACCGGUCACGUGGUGAUGCUCUAUAUAGCCGUCUGGUAGGUUUGAUCUUUAAACUUGCAACAUAACAUUCGCGACCAAUUUUUUAAUCCACAUGAACCGUGACGAUAUCACCGGGCAGUGACGAAAAUUUCAUAGCUAGGUGAGGGGUGGAUACUAUUGCCUUUAAACAAUUAAUGGACGACCGUUUGAGCAGUAUAUUAUAAAAUGUAUUUGCAUUAACCAACAAAUACUGAUUUUUAUAGUUUUACUGAGAUGACCCUCUUCACCGAAGAUAGUGUAUAGGUUGAUAAAUCCUCUAGUAUCCACUCGUUCGCCUGAGAAUCCAACAAUCAGUUCAUUAUAAGGCUGAAUUUCUGUUUCUGGAAUCCUCAUUUUCCCGAAGGUCUUCCAAUAAAGGAUAUCCACCGAACUACCUUGAUCCACCAGGACCUUGGUAAUUGCAAACUUGUCUAUUUCCGCAGUAAUCACCAUGGGAUCGUCUUGUGUUAGGUCUAUUGUGGUGAAGUCAUCAUCAGUACAAGUAAUCGGGGAAAUCCUCGGUCGACUUCAGAUGGACGUGGAAUGGACCGAUCGGAUUGCCCGAAGAUGUUUCUUUAUAGCCGAAUUAGAACAUCCACCUCCCGCAAAACCUCUAGCUAUUUUAUUGACUUCUUGUUCGGGAAUGUCGAGUGACACCGGUCCAGCAAUAGUAUUGAUAACUUCUUGGACCCUACGCCUGGUCUGGUUGUUCCUCUCAUGACUUUCACUUCGUGGUCGAGUCCUUCUUACUGGGCUUUCACUUUGUCUUUGCCUCAUCGGACGCUGGUUGUCAUCAUGUCGACAUGAGUCCACUCGUCCUGUUCGAUCGUAGUAUUAUUUUUUUCCUCUAGGUGGAUAUCGAUCCCUUUGUGGAGAUCGGUAUGUGUCGGUGUCGGUCUUAAUGAAUUUGUGGAAGUGGCCAACUUGAAUACGUUCUUCUAUUUUUUAUUUCAAUGCUUGACAACCUUCGGUCAUAUGGCCAUAAUUGUGGUGAUACUGGUAGUGUUUAGAAGUAUCUGCAUUUCGUGGAGUUUCCGAUUGCUUCGAGGCUGGGAUUAACUCGACUUGCAAUGCCUCAUCCAAAACUCUUCCCCUUGGAACUGUUAGCAGCGUGUAACUCAUAAAUUGGGUCCUCGAUUUUCUCUGAAACGGUCAGUCCGACCUGAUACAGGUCGACUGCCUUUGUCUUUGUCUUUUUCUUUCCCUUUAUCGGCACCUUCAAAUUGAUGACUCCUAUGAUAGUCAAUGUGUUCUUCUAUCUGCAUAAAUUUGAUUGCAUGGUCUCUUGAUUAAGCUUUCGAUGAAUUGGUCCGGUCAGAUUGCCGAGACAAGAUGAUGAAUGGCUAUCUCUAGCAUCAAGUUUCUGAUACCCCUGCAAACAUUGCCGAAUCUAUCCAUAAAUGCUUGCAAGGAUUCUCCUUUUUCUUGCUUCACGUUAAGGAAAGACAUGGAUGAGGUGUGAUGUGGUCGGCUCAUUGCAUAUUGUGUGAUGAACUUUGUUGUCAUAACUUUAAAUUUUCCCACGGAGUUAAGAGCGAGUCUGGUGAACCAACCGAGUGGUCCUUCUUGAGGGAGGUGGGGAAGACCUUACACCAUACUGCUUUGUUGGUUGUGUAAAGAGUCAUUUGUGUCUUAAAGACAUUUAGGUGUUCGUCCGGAUCAGUAGAACCAUCAUAGGGUUUGAUGGUUAAUCAUUUCCACUUGGGAGGGAUUGGUGUGUCGAUUAUCUUGUUUGUGAAUGAAUGUCCUCUUGGGUCCUCCUCGUCAUUCCAAGGAGGAGUAUUUCUAGAACUUUGGUGAGUUUUAUGAAUGAGAUUGGUUUGAUGGGUUUGUGGUGGUGCUCGAGAUUGCUCUUCCCGUUCACGCCCAUCAAGACGUUGUUGUAGGUUUUUAUUUUGCUCCUUCAAAAGGGAAAUCUCAUCCUCAUGCUGACGUCGAUCCUCUUCAUUAUGUAACUGAUUCGCAAUGCCUUUUUGUUGUAAUUCCUCCAUUUGUGCCUGGAGGGCCUGGAUCAUAACUAUCUGUUCAUCUGCCAUGCAGCCGUUGUUAGUAUUAUUCCUUGUUGACACCAUCGUUGCAGGUUGUAGCUUGUUACUGAAAAUUGAAUACUACCUCGGCCCCACGGUGGGCGCCAAUUGUACCUAUAUAGGAUGAAGGGGGUAGAUAGUACCUGUGACUGGUCGCACAAUUCUUGACGUGUCGGUGAUCUCCUUAUUACUUCAAGUCUCCUUCUUCAAAUGUUGAUGCUCGGUUGGUCGGGGCAUACCUACAAAAGGUACUUCGACGCUCAAGUAAGUGCUUUGAUUUAAGAGUGUAUUCUAAUAAAAUGGUAAAAACGUACUUUACUCCUUCACAGAGGGCUCUAUUCAUAGUAUUGACUUAUGGGCCUUGACCCUGAUGGUCGAAUAUCAGUUAUUAACUGAUGUAUAGUAGUUCCUUGAUACUAGGAACGUGUAUCUUUCAAUUAAUCAAUUAUUUCCACAUAUCUCGAGAUGUACAUUGACUCAUUCAACGCUACUUGUAAUUGUUGCUACUUAUUGUAUUUCUUAUGUUUUUUUACUCAGGCGAUCAAUCACUAGAAUCGAGAUUAACUCAUCUGGUAACGACCGAUAUAGAAAAUUAAAAUAUCAUCAAUUAUAGAAAUCAAAUAUUAAUAUUAUAAAAAAAUUAUUAGAAAGUUAUGAUUACUAAGAAUUCGUCCUCUAUAAAUAUUAGGCAUUCAAAGUUAAAAUUUGUAUACACCCAUAUAAAUUCAAAGUUAGGAAGAUAUUCUUCAACAAACGAGUUAUUAUAAUGUUUCCAACCAUUUUAUUAGAAUUAUUUAUGUUUGAAUAUUUUAUCUCUUUUUAACUUUUCUCCUUUAUGUGAAUCAGUAACUUUAAACACUCUAUACAUAGGCUUGUAUUAUGUAGUAGAGGUUAUAAAUUGUACACCUCGUAUAAAUCCUCAAAGACAAAGAGAUGUACAUUGAUGAACAAGUGAUCCAUGUCAAUUUAACCAAAUAAAAAUGUUCAGAUAGUAGAUUGUUUACUGAAAAAAAAAACAAAAAUUAAAUCUAGUCAAAUCCACUACAAGAAAAUUAUUAAAUAGUAACUAAUUUUAGAGAUCAAAAUAGUUAGUUAUUAUUUGACUAAAUUAGAGACUAUUUUAUAAACUAAAAAAACUUUUGGUAUUUAAAGUAGUUUAUAUUAUUAAUAAAAAUUUAUAAAAUGGUUUCUAAAUUAGUAUAUAACCAUUAGCUACCAAGUUUUUAGUUACUUACUACUUUAUAUUCUAAAUUUGUCUCUAUUACUCUUUUAGAGACUAAUUUAGAAUCUAAAAUAUUAGUAGAUAAAACUUAGGUAGCUAAUUUAGAUACCAAUUUAGAAACAAUUUUAUAAAUUUUCAUUAAUAAUAAAAACUAUUUUAAAUAUGAAUAAUUUUUUAGUCUCUAAAUUAGUAUCUAAUUUAGUUAAUAUAGAUACUAAUUAUUUUUUGUCUCUAAAUUUAGUUACUAUUUUAUGAUUUUCUUGUAAUGAUCAAUUAAUUUUGAUUCAUCUCCCAACAAAUUAAAUUGUAGAUUCAUUAAGAUAGAUUUCAAAUAUUAUUUGCAACAGUUGUUAGUUAAUAAGAAUAGUUUAGGGUUCUAUUUUAAAGGAUAAGAGUAAGAUGAUGAAAAGCAGGUUGAGUCUCAAUUUCUUUAACAAUGAAUUCUUCAUCGGUUGACAUAUAUAUAUAUAUAUAUAUAUCAUUCAUUCAAUCUCCAAACAUGAUCGAAUUGAUCAAAUAUGCAUAAGUCAGUUCAAUAGAAUCUAAUUAAUGAAACAUGUGUUUACUAAUUCAUCCAGUAUCUUACUCGUCUUCAUGCACUUACUUAUAAGAUUUUUCAUUUUUUACCUCUUGAAUUGAGCAAAAAAGAGAUUGUUCAGACUAGUGCAACAAGAAUUCAAAUUAGAGAACAUAAUUGAAUCAUCAACAUACGUUCAAAAGCAAUUUCAAUAACAAAAAUUAGAACUCAAAAAGACCAAAUCGUUUAGCACAACCUAUUAUAGAUAUUAAAAAAUAACAGUUUAAUUGCAUGAAACCUCAAAUGCAUUGUAAAAUCACAAGAGAAUCGACCCAAAAGAGUUUAGUCUUUCAUACGAAGUCAAAACAAAAAGAAUUACAAAGAAGAAAAUAAGAAAACUAUGAUGCUCUCUUUAUGAACGUGUUUCUAGUGUGGAGCUUGAUAUCUUCUCUUUAAAGCUUGUAUCUUUUUAUAAGUUUCUUUGUUCCAUGAAUCUCGAAAUUAGAUUAUGGUUUAAAUAUUGUUUGCAUAUUCUUAUUUUCCAACUUUCCAAAAUUUUCAAACUUUGUUUUCAUUUUGUAGCAAAUUUUGUUUCUUCUUAUCUUUCUAGAAUAUUUGCUUUCAAAUCUAUUUGAAAUAUUGUAGAUUUUAUUUUCUAAUUCUCUUACUCAGAUUUUGUUUUUCAUUUUUAUUUACAGAGACAAUUUGAACUUUGAUUGAUCAAUCCCACUUACAACAGUAUACUCUUCCUUCAAACUUGUGCAUCAGUGUAGCAGACAUUUCUAUUAGAUCGUCUACUAUAAGAAUAAUCGUAAUAACAGUUAAAACUCAACUAAACUCAAUUAGAUGAAUCUUAUUUAAAUAACAUAUUUAUUCAUAAUUAUCAUUAUAAGAAAAUCCUUAAAUAGCAACUAAUUUUAUAGACAAAAAAUUAUUAUAUUGACUAAGUUAGAUACUAUUUUAUAAAUUAAAAAUUAUUAGUAUCUAAAAUAGUUUAUAAUAUUUAUAAAUUACAUUUUAAAUUGGUAUCUAACAUUAGUUGUUAAGUUUUUAGCUACUAAGUACUUUAAAUUCUAAAUUAGUCACUAUAAAAACUAAUUUACAAUCUAAAUAGUUAAUAACUAAAACUUUGGUAGAUAAUGUUAGAUACUAAUUUAGAAACUAGUUUAUAAGUUUUAUUAAAAUAGAAACUACUUUAAAUACAACAAUUCUUUAAUUUAUAAAAUAGUAAACUACAAGAAAUUCAUUAUAUAGUAACCAAAAUUAGAGACCAAAAAUAAUUUGUCACUAGUUAAGUUAGAUACUAUUUUAUAGACUAAAAAAAUAAUAUUUGUAUCUAAAGUGGUUUUUAUGAUUAAUAAAAUUUAUAAAAUAGUUUCUAAAUUGGUAUCUAAAUUAGCUACUAAGGUUUUAACUAUUAAUAUUUUAGAUUCUAAAUUGGUCUCAAUUAAUCUUUUAGAGACUAAUUUAGAAUCUAAAAUAUUAGUAAUUAAAACCUUUAUAACUAAUUGUUAGAUACCAAUUUAAAAAUUACUUUAUAAAAUUUUAUUAAUAAUAGAAACUACUUUAUAUACCAAUAAUUUUUUUAGUCUCUAAAAUUUUAAUUUAGUCUAAUAAUAACUAAUUAUUUUGAUCUAUAAAAUUAAUUGUAAUUUAAUGAUUUUCUUGUAAUAAUAUUUAAUUUAGUCAAUAUAAUAAUUAAUUAUUUGUUGUUUUUAAAAUUAUUUUUUAUUUAAUAUUUUUUUAACAUAUAAAAAAGUAUAAUUAAAGAUUCUAUAUGUGAAUACAAUUAUGUUCAUUUAAUGCUAUCAACCAUUUUAUUGGAAUUUUUUAUAUUCAAAUACUUUAUUUGUCAUCUACUUUCCAGUAAUUUAUUUGUUUCAAUCAUUUACUUUAAAUACUUUAUCAUUUUCGCAUUGUACCUAUUUGUUUCACUAUUCUCUUGUAAAACUCGAAUAAAUUUUGUUUCGAAUGAUAUAUGUAUUUGUAAAUAUGUUUGUAAGUAUUCAAUCUAAUAAAAUUUAAGACUAUGGCUAAUAAUCUACCAUACACGAUAAAAUGUCUCCAAAGCAAAUAUGUUUGCUUUUGUUGAUGAAAAUUCUCAAAAAAAUGGGGCGUGGGGCCCAAAAAAAUAGGUAGGGUCGUUCUCAUUCAUUGUUUGAAUUCAUUUUGAUGAAAUGAUUUUACUAGAACAAAUAUUUAUGGUACAUGAUUUAUUGUUUUUAUCCAUUCUACGUACAACCUUCUUCCGGAUAUCAAAUAUGUACUUAAACAUGAAACUUGUUAUUCGUAAAAAGAAGAUUUAAUUUUCCCAUUUUUGCUUUACUAUUUUCUUACAAAUAUUGAAUAAAUUUUGUUCUAAAUAAUAUAUUUAUUUGUAAAUAUAUUUGUAAGUGUUCUCAUAUGAAAGUUUUUUUCAUUGAUGUGUUUUUACUUAUCUUUUUUAUUAGAGAAUUUUUUGUUAUUUAUAAGAAAGGUAAUUUAUCUUAAUACAUUUUCUCUAUUAUUUAGAUGAAGGAACUUGGAUAAACCCUAAACUCUAAAUGGACAUAUUUUUAAGAUUUAUGUCCUAUAUAAACACCGUGUAUACGAGUUUUUGUUAUAAGUGAUAUUUCUUUUUAUUUGUCGCUUAGGUUAUUGGCCUACAAAUCGAACCAUGCUAAUAGAGUACUAAGCAUUUAGUAUAUGAGUGAUGUUUAAUUUAUCGAACCUACUAAGUAUUUACAUUUAAGUUAUAACAUUUAAAACAUAUAUAUGGGGUCAAUAAUCUACCAUGAGAAUGAAAUGUCAAAAAUAAUUAUUUAUCAUCUUCUUCAAAUUCUUAUAAUAUUAUUUUUGUUUUUUUAAUGAAAAUUCAAAAAAAAAACUCAUAUUGUGAUAUUUAAUGUCUUGGUCAUUCUUAUAAGCCAAAUCUUAUGUAAAAAUAACCAAAAAAAUAAAAUUUCUUCAUUAAAAUUUAUGAUUGGUUUAGUAAGAAUUUGACUUAACUAUAAUGUGAAUGAAGGAAUUAUAUUAAGAAUUAUAUUUAGAGUUUGGAAACUAUUGUCAAUUUCAUAUUAUGAUAUAUUUAUAUCAUUUUAAUUAAUUUUAUAUGCUUGCAAGUCUUUAAAAAAGUUAUAAAAAUCUUAUUCAGUUUGAUGUCCCAAUUAUAAGAUAAUAACUUUUUACUUUAAUAUUAAUUUUUAAUUAUCAAAUGUAUAAAUUACCCAACUACUACAAAUAUUUGUAGAUAAGACUUAGGUUUAUCAUUAUAGUACUUCAAUUAUUAUGUAUGUGAAAAAAGUAAUACUAAAACUAGUCAAAAGUAAAAACACCGAAAAGUUGAAGCCCUAAAAAUACAUUUUUCUUAUUUAUUUAUUGAUUAUUAUUAUAAAGAGCAGAAGAUAAGUAAAAACACAUACAUAAUUAAUUAUAAAUGUUUCAAUUAUAAUAAUAAUAAAUAUUUCCAUUUCUUUCAUCUCCGUAAUAUAAUUAAUUGUGUUACUUUAUGUUUCUAAAUUAUGUGUAUUUUUUUGGUGGGAGGAUUGAUAUUUUUAGUCUGCUAUUACCUACCUUAUUAUAUUUUUUUAAUUUAUUAGAAUUAAAAUAAAUAAAUAAAACUAAAAUCUAAAAUAUUACGAGUUUAUACUAUAUUACUUUAAAAAUAUAAUUAUGUAAUAUUAUUAUAAUUUAAAUUAUGAACACUUAUAAAUUAAGUUUCAAUUAUAAUUAAUUAAUUUACAUAUGAAAUUAUUAAUUUUUUAAUUUUUUUAAUUAAAAUACUAUGUAAUUAAAUAUAUUUUUUAAAAAUAAUUGUUAUCCCUAUCUCUCUUUUCAGCUAUACCAAAAAAAAAAAAACUGUCGAUAAAUGUAUGGGAUGAUGUUAUACUGGCAAAUUUAAUUUUGUUUUUGUUGGUAUUGAAGAAAAAUAUUGUUCAUACAUCAACCCACGAAAGCAAUAUUUGAGAGUGCGUGUUUGCGAAGUUUACGCGUAUGUUCAACGGGUUCCCAUUUACGCGUGAAGACUAAAAUAUUAGAGAUUCAAAGUUGGAAGGGGGUCCUUUUUCUUCUCACGUUCUCUCUUGUUCGUAGAAUGUACUCUAAUGUUUUUUAACUUAGGAUUUUAUAGGUCAAAAAUAAAUAUAAUUUAAUGAUGUGUAUGAUGUACUCUAAUGUUUUUUAAUUUAAAUUUUUUAUAGGUCAAAAUAAUAAAUAUGAUUUAGAGUUGUGUAUAAGGUAUUUUAAUGUUUUUUUAACUUAGGAUUUAGUAGGUCAAAAUAAUAAAUAUAAUUUAAUGAGGUGUAUAAUGUACUCUAAAACUUUUUAAUUUAAAAUUUGAUAGGUCAAAAUAAUAAAUAUAAUUUAAUAAUGUGUAUAAUGUACUUUAAUGUUUUUUAACUUAGGAUUUGAUAGGUCAAAAUAAUAAAUAUAGGUUAAUGAUGUGUAUAUUUUUUUUAGUGUAAUAUAUAUAUAUAUAUAUAUAUGAUUUUAAUGGGUUAUUGAUUAUAGUUUAGUAUUAGUAUUAGGGUAGGUUGUAAAACUAAUUUCGAUUCUAAAAUAGAAUUUCUAUUUUUGAGAAGAUUAAUUGUACUCUAUAGAAGAUUAAUUGUUAGUUUCCUAACAAUCAGACUUGAACAUGUUAUAUAGGUGAUGUUCGAUUUUCUAGUAAAAAACAAUUAAUUGUCACUAAAGUGAUGAAAUUUGACUAUUCCUAUGGUAUAAAGAGAAAAUCAUUGAUUUUUUUUUUGAAAAAACUAAAUUUAUUUUUUUUUGAAUUUUUGUUGUCUAAUUUUAAAAAUAUUAUUUAUUAUCACCCAUAAUUAUUUUUUAUAAGAUCUUUAAUAAUUCAAAAAAUUCAAAUAAAAUAUUAAUAAUUAUUAAUUAAAAACUCUUAACGCUUGUUAAAAGCAAUUUAAAUAUUAAUUAAUUACUUUAUAUAUCCUUUUUAGGAUUAUAUCAAAUAUAUUAAUUAAUAAAUAAAUUUGUCUAUUUGGUUUUAAAUUAAAAUUAACAAUUAAUAUAACUUAAAAGAAAUAAAAUAAAAUAAAAUAAAAUAAAAUAAAAAGUAAAUUAGAAUUGGAGUCCGAAAUUCUAAUUCCGAUUCCGAUGUACUUUUUGUAUUUAAAGAUAAAAUGGAAGGUUAGAAUUGAAGUGCGUGUUGUUAUCAGGAUUAAUAAAAAGGUUUAUAGGGCUAAACAAAUUGACAAUAGAUUUAUUUGGGUAAUUUCUUUUGGAAAGGUAUCUGUCACAAAAUUUAUACUUUUUAAAUUAUGAAAAGGAAUAUUGGUUUUGAAAAAAGAAAGUUAAUAAUAAAUGUUACCUGAAGUGACUAAUAUAGUCAUCACUUUUUAUCGGGAAAAAAGAACAGUGACAUGCUGUUCCAAGCAUGUUAAUGACACUGACUUUCCCUGAAAAGAUGCGGACAUGCCGUGCGAUGAAAAUGACAUAAAGGGCAGAGAAACUUGCACCAAACAAACUACUCUCAUACAUAACAAAAAUGGAAAACUUUUUCCCCAACCAAGUUUUCAAAUUUUGCUCUAAUAAAAAAUUAUUAUAUUUAAAUAAACUUUAAUAAAUUUUAUUUGAUUAAAUAUUAAAAGUGUUUUUUUUUCUAUUUAUUCUUGGGUUUGAUUUUGCUAUGAAGGAAUGAUCGGACCCUUACUUUUAUCAUUAACGUGAAAACACAUAUGUUAUUGUGUCUAAUUUUUUAUUUUUAUUAUUAUAUUUGUGUUUUGUAUAUUUUAAAUAUCAAAUAUCAUUUUCACUUUUCAGUUAUAAGUUUCAACAUAUCACGUUAAUAAUUACAAAAUGUCAAUAAUGACAUUUGUAAUGUGCAAAAAUCUGAAUGUUUUGUAUUCAAGUAACAGUUUGAAAUAUUAUGUUUAUCUUUUUUUUCUCUCUACCUCUGUUGUACGAAGAUGAAAAACAAAGUAAAAGAACUCAAAAUGAGGAGCAUUAAUAAUUAAACAAUCAGAAUUUAAACCAUCUAUAUUGAUUGAUCAAAACAAAAUAAACAAUAAUGACAUUGGUUCAAUAAGAAAUUCCUUUAGAUUGGCGAAAAUGAAAAAAAAAAUUGUGGUUUACAUUCAUUUUCUUAUGUUUCUUUUUUCUUUUUGUUCUUUUUUCUCACUUCUCUCAAUUUUUUCUUUUUUGUAUUAUGCCUAGAGUCAAAGUAACUGUCCAUCAAACAAUCUUCCAGUUCAAAGUUUUAUUUGACUCAUUCUAACAUUUUCUUUUAAAUUUAAUAAUAGUUUUUUUUUUAGUUUUAAAUUUAAGUGAUUAUAAAAUAACGAAAUAAAUAAAAUAAAAUAAUAAAUAAAAUAUUGAUAUAAAGAUAAAAUAUGAACAAUUUGUGUACAACCCAAUUAGAAUGGAGAAUCUCUUUUACAAAUAGGUAUAUAGAUAUAGAUAUAGAUUAUAAUAAUAAUAAAAUCGUAAAGAACAUAGCAUUUAUAAUUUUUUCAAUUUUAAAAAAUUACAAAUUUUAUUUAUUAUUUUCUUACUUGCAUAUUCUUAUCAAGAUAGUAAAUGAAUUAUUAUGAUUGCUAAGAAAAAUAAAAAUCGAAUUAUAACGGAAAAUAAAUAGAAAAGUAACAAAUACAUAAUAAGAGUGGAAGAAGAAAAAACAGAAAAAGAGACAUAAUAAGAGUGGAAGAAGAAAAAACAGAAAAAGAGAAAGAAAGAAGUUGCUUGAUGGAGCCAUAAAUUAUUUGAUUUUAAAUAUUAGUUUACAUACAAUUUGUCUUUUAAUCAGAUUAUUGACAGAUAUCCUAAGUAUUAUAUUGGAUCUAAAUUCUCUAAAUUUUUAAGAAAAAAAUUAUGUAAUUUAACCAUUGAUAUUAAUAAAACUAAAUUUUAAAUUUACUAAUUUAAAAAAAUUACACUAAUAAAAGUAAAAUUAGUAAUUAACUGUAUCCACUAAAAUAGAUUACUAGUUACAAAUUGUUAUAGAUAUGUAACAGAAAUAAUUCUUUCAAAAUUCAAACCAAAAAGUAAGAAUAACAAUAAUGAAAUAUAUGUUGCGGAAUUAAAGUAAUUAUCCAUAAAAUUACGUUUCAAUUCAAAACUUAGUUUACUCAUUCUUUUUAAAUAAACAUAUUUAUUUCAAAUUUAAUAUCAACUUUUUUUAGUUUUAAAUUUAACGAAAUAACUAAAAUAAAAUAAUAAAAUAAAAUAUUAAUAUAAAAAUAAAAUAAAAAUAAAUUUUUGUACAAUAAAAAUAAUUAUAAUAGAAAUUCCCUUUAUAUUUCAUAUAUAUAUAUAUAUAUAGGUAUAGAUUUGUUUUUUCUUUUUCAAUCUUAUUAAAUUUAUUUCUACUCUCUUGAAGAGCUAAUCGACUUACGUGUAAUAAGAAAUAAAAGAAGAGAAGAGAAUAAAUAAAUAAAUAAAAAGUGCAGAAGAAGCUUUACUUGUGGUGCAAGGACUAGAGUGGGUAUAAAUGAAUAGUGGGUUUGAGAGAAAUUUGUUCAUUCACUCAUCCUUGGCUACGCCCAAAUCUUCUUUCCCUAACAUUUUAGUUCAUAUCACAGUAAAACACCAUGGGAUUGUACUCCAACAAGUUUUUUUCUUCUUUUACAUCGGCCUCAUCAUGGUUCGAGGUCUAUGCUGCCUUCUCCACAAUCAUGAUGCUCUUCAGAACUGCAAUCAAUGAUCUCAUUCCCCAUCAAUUUCGAUCCUUUAUCGCCUCAAAGCUUGAGGCCUUCUUCUCCAAAUACCAAGCAAACUCCAAUGUCUCUGUCAAAAUUAACCAAUUUUGGGAUGAAAAUGUUGGAGAGCGCAAUGAACUUUUCGAUGCUGCCCUGGCCUACCUCCCCACACAGAUUAGUCACACCUACAAAUCGCUGAAAGUUGGCAGACUGCAAAACCGGAAACACCUUGAGCUUGCAGUGGAUGGAAGUGAAGAUGUGGUUGAGGAAUUUGAAGGCAUCAAAUUCACUUGGAAGCUGGAUGAGGGGUCCAAGGAGGAGUCUAAUAACAACAGCAGGAGGUAUAACUUUUUAUUAACCUUCGAUGAGAAACAUAGACAAAGGGUAUUGGAUCGGUAUCUCCCACAUGUGCUUAAAACAUUUGAGACCAUGAAAGAUCAGAGAAGGAUUGUAAAACUCUAUUCCAGGUUAGAUGACUAUUGGAACGAAAGUGAGUUAUCACAUCCUGCAACAUUUGACUCACUAGCCUUGUGUCCUGAGUUGAAGAAAGAUAUAAUUGAUGAUUUGGCUAGAUUCUUGAGGAGGAAGGACCUUUACAAGAAAGUGGGAAAGCCUUGGAAGCGUGGCUACUUGUUGUAUGGACCCCCAGGAACUGGAAAAUCUAGCCUUAUUGCAGCUAUGGCAAACUACUUGAAAUUCGAUGUAUAUGAUUUGGAGCUUUCUUCUAUCUACUCUAACUCGGACCUCAUGAGAUCCAUGAAGGAAGCGUCUAACCGUUGCAUCGUUGUGAUUGAAGACAUAGACUGCAACAAAGAGGUGCAUGCAAGAUCAAAGCCAAAUGGUGCUUCAGAUGAUCGAGAUUCGGACUCAGACAGUGAGGAUCCCAAGGUUUGUUUUCAUGUUCUGUACUCUUACUUAUUUGCAGUAGUCAUCAAUUAAUCUUUUUACAAGUAAAAUGAGUGUUUUUUCUUAAAAUGAAUCCACAGAUGAGGUCAAAGAGGUUUACACUAUCGGGUCUGCUUAACUACAUGGACGGUUUGUGGUCAAGUGGUGGAGAGGAGCGGAUUAUAAUCUUCACUACUAACCACAAAGAGAAAAUUGACCCAGCACUGCUGCGCCCUGGUCGUAUGGACAUGCACAUUCACUUGUCCUUCCUCAAAGGCAAGGCCUUUCGAAUUCUAGCUUCCAAUUACUUAGACGUUAAAGGAGAUCAUCCACUCUUUCAACAAAUUGAUGAUCUGUUGGAGAAAAUACAAGUCACCCCUGCAGUGGUAGGGGAGCAACUAAUGAGAUAUGAGGAUCCUGAUGUUUGUUUGGAAAAACUUGUUCAAUUUCUC
rnacentral:lncRNA from 1 species